AGCGAACGCUGGCGGCAGGCUUAACACAUGCAAGUCGAGCGGGCGUAGCAAUACGUCAGCGGCAGACGGGUGAGUAACGCGUGGGAACGUACCUUUUGGUUCGGAACAACACAGGGAAACUUGUGCUAAUACCGGAUAAGCCCUUACGGGGAAAGAUUUGUCGCCGAAAGAUCGGCCCGCGUCUGAUUAGCUAGUUGGUGAGGUAAUGGCUCACCAAGGCGACGAUCAGUAGCUGGUCUGAGAGGAUGAUCAGCCACAUUGGGACUGAGACACGGCCCAAACUCCUACGGGAGGCAGCAGUGGGGAAUAUUGGACAAUGGGGGCAACCCUGAUCCAGCCAUGCCGCGUGAGUGAUGAAGGCCCUAGGGUUGUAAAGCUCUUUUGUGCGGGAAGAUAAUGACGGUACCGCAAGAAUAAGCCCCGGCUAACUUCGUGCCAGCCGCCGCAGUAACAC
rnacentral:rRNA from 1 species